UACGUAGGGUGCGAGCGUUGUCCGGAAUUAUUGGGCGUAAAGGGCUCGUAGGCGGUCCAUCGCGUCGAUCGUGAAAACUUGGGGCUUAACCCUGAGCUUGCGGUCGAUACGGGCAUGACUGGAGUUCGGCAGGGGAGACUGGAAUUCCUGGUGUAGCGGUGAAAUGCGCAGAUAUCAGGAGGAACACCGGUGGCGAAGGCGGCUAUCUGGACUUCAACUGACACUGAGGCGCGAAAGCGUGGGGAGCGAACAGG
rnacentral:rRNA from 1 species